GCCUAAAUGCAGGGCUUUUGAUGAUAUUCCCCGCCAACAAGGCAUGAAGGUGGGGCUUGCCUCCAUCUGGCUCUCCUGCCACUUUCAACAACACACCCCACAUCCGAUCCUGCUUAGAGUCGAAGAUGAAUCUGGCAUAAUACAAACAGCACUGGACUGGAAGCAUGAAGUUUCUCUUAUCUGUGCCUUGGUUUCCUCAUGUGGAAAAUGAAAAUGUUGACAUAAAUAAUCACACAGGUCUCUGUUAGUACCAUUUUGUGAUUUUAUAUCGUGCUUACCACACCUAGAAACAGGGGCCAUCAUUCCAGCCAGCUAACAGAGAAAAAGACGAUACAUAAUCAGGCUUGGGAAAAUAAAUUUCAG
rnacentral:lncRNA from 1 species